rnacentral:rRNA from 1 species
GACGAACGCUGGCGGCGUGCCUAAUACAUGCAAGUUGAGCGCUGAAGGUUGGUACUUGUACCAACUGGAUGAGCAGCGAACGGGUGAGUAACGCGUGGGGAAUCUGCCUUUGAGCGGGGGACAACAUUUGGAAACGAAUGCUAAUACCGCAUAAAAACUUUAAACACAAGUUUUAAGUUUGAAAGAUGCAAUUGCAUCACUCAAAGAGGAUCCCGCGUUGUAUUAGCUAGUUGGUGAGGUAAAGGCUCACCAAGGCGAUGAUACAUAGCCGACCUGAGAGGGUGAUCGGCCACAUUGGGACUGAGACACGGCCCAAACUCCUACGGGAGGCAGCAGUAGGGAAUCUUCGGCAAUGGACGAAAGUCUGACCGAGCAACGCCGCGUGAGUGAAGAAGGUUUUCGGAUCGUAAAACUCUGUUGGUAGAGAAGAACGUUGGUGAGAGUGGAAAGCUCAUCAAGUGACGGUAACUACCCAGAAAGGGACGGCUAACUACGUG